AUGGCAUCAUCCUCAUGGAGAUAUUGGACUGAUCAUGACCGGAAAAAAUGGCGGGAUGCCCUCACAGAUAAAGAUUUUUGGCUGUAUGGAUACGAAGGCACGGUGGAAUAUUAUAACUCCUUAGUCAUUCUUGCCAUAUCCCCCGCGGGUAAAGGCUUGACCUGGAACGUAGGUGUGGGGCCCAAGGCAUCAUUUACACAGGCCAUAACGAACCACAUCUUUUCUGUGAGAAACUGUAUGUAUGGUGGGUAUAAACACAUGAUAAAAGUGGAUCUGAAUCCGACACCCACAUCCGAUGAAGCCCUAGGAGGUGGCAUCACGAGCAUCAAGUACAAGAUUGCUGUCGCUGCGGCAAAGGAGCUCGGGCUCCUCGACCAAGAAUACAACAGGCUCGAAGAAAGGAAUGAAGAGCUACUGUACUACUCCUAUGGCGACUUUGACCAGGAUACCUCUCGAGAAUUGGAAAGUUAUGUGAAGAACAAAAUUGUUCCUCGGAUCAUCAAGCAGUUGUCAACAGAGAAGUAUUUUCUAAUGGUCGAGAACCUCCAGUUGCCCAUUGAGCUUGGUAGUUUCACAUUGGAUGUUGGGCUUCCACCGCCCACUUGGGCAGAUUCUUGUUGGUUCAUCUCAACCACUUCUCAUGAUGCCUACAACGAGAGCAAGUCAAAAGAUGAUAUACUUAUCUCCAUUAACGAAGAUGACUUUGUAAUGGUACUUAUCAUAUACUCAAUGCUUCAUUCAGCCUAUGACAUACUCAACAAGACUCAUCAAGAACAUGAGGAUUGGUUUGACAUUGCCCUCAAUUGCUUCCACUAUGCCAUAACAGUAUUUGCGCAAUAUUCACCGUGGAUUUUUACCUCGGAUGAGCUCAUUCACCACUGGACCGCCCUAGGUAUCCUGCCUGGUUUCACCAUCAAGGAAGAAGAAGAAAUUGGGACCUACAUAAGCAAGUGUGCCUAUAUGGAGCAAGUUGGGACGGUCAUCCUUGAAGUUUUUGAGAAAUACUCUUUGUUGCAGCUACCAUUUUCUCAUGCAAAUGAAGCUUAUGAAGCCACCAGUACCAGCGCACAGUUCUUAGCAUACCAUGGCCUCGUUGCAAAAGGCAUCACAGUUGAUGAACUCUUGGAAAACAAGAAGAAAUGGAUUUCAUUCGUUGGUGACCAUGGAUGGCAUGUAAGCCUGGAAUGGUUGAACCCAGAGGAAACAAAGGGGACACAUGCACUUAUUCUAAGAGGCUGCCAUACAUCGCCCAUUCUUUCCAAGCUGGACAAUUUCUUGUCCGAACUUCCGUUUCUUCGUGUUCUUGAUCUCUCAUAUACUCCAACAAAAACACUCCCUUCUUCCAUCGGUUGCCUACUGAACCUUCGGCUACUUGCACUUAGAGGCUGCCAUGAUCUCAAAAGCCUUUCCAGUUCAUCCGCAACAAGUGCCACAGACUCACCAACAAAUAUAAGCUCAUCAUCACCAUUGUCCACUCUAUACCAACUUGAAAUUCUUGAUAUGAAUGGAGCUCCUUUUUCUCAUCUGACACAAGAUAUGGCCAGCCAAAUGAGCAAUUUGAUAUACCUUGACAUGUCCUAUUCAUUAAUCACUACUUUUCCUCCCAAUUUUUUCAAGGAUGUGUCUAAUCUCGAAGAGCUUAUUCUUGUCAGCUGCUCCAACCUUGUGGAGCUACCUCCUUCCAUGGCUCUGUUAUCCACCUUAACAACCCUUGAGAUUAGUGGGAGUCAAAUAAAAUACUUCCCACAAAAGAUGUUUGAAGAAAUGUUGAAGCUACAUUCGAUCAAGCUCAUUGACAACAAGGAAUUGAUUUCACUUACAGGACCAAUAUCGAGUGACCAAGGAAUCAAAUUGGAAGGGCAAACUAACCUUGUAUCCUUCGUUUUGAUAGGCGCAUCUCACAUAAGGUGCUUGUCUUUACGUGGAUGUAGAAAACUUGAGUCUAUUGAGAUCAAGGAUCUUGGAGCUUUGGAGGAAAUUGAUUUGCCUUGUACAGCUAUCAUGGAGUUUCCUGUAGAUAUCAUUAAUUCCACCCAGCUUAGGCGAUUGCUCCUGCAGGGUGUUCCUUCUCUGAGGAGAUUUCCGUGGCAUAAGCUAGAGCGACUCCCAGAUGUGUUUUACUUGGAUCAGUGCACAGAAGGAGAUGGUAAUUACUCUGAUGAAAUUUGCCAAGUGUGUGUUAGUGACCCCAGUUUCUUCCUUAGCUUUCGUGAUUCUGUCGUGGACUUAGUGGAAGAUGGAUGGUUUUUUCAAUCAUUCUAUGUUAGAGUCGCACCAUGCAAUUCACAUAGCAGACAACAACAAGAUGAAGAAGACAUGCUAGAUAGCAAGUUGCAGCUGUUUGUGCAGAAUCAAUCGACAUAUGUUGAUGCAUAUAGCAGUUGCUAUGCAGAGGAAAUCAGAAUUGAGUCGCCAGUUACAGUCCCGUUUCACCGAACCGAGCGCCAUGUAGAGAUCACAGGGAUGAAAGACCCAACUAUUGGUUUAUGUGAUCUUCUGAAUGUCACCACAUCAAUAUCAGUGACAUGUGAUACUUCUAUGGAAUAUUUUUCUGACUUGAGCGGUCAUGGUGAGUCAGGCUGGACGGAGCGAGCGGGCUUCUCGGCCCGCUCGUGGCCCGUUCGGUCCUGGCCCGCUGAAGAAUUUGUUCGGUCCGGUUACUAA
rnacentral:rRNA from 1 species